rnacentral:rRNA from 1 species
GUGCUUACCAUGCAAGUCGAACGAUGAACCGCUUUCGGGCGGGGAUUAGUGGCGAACGGGUGAGUAACACGUGGGCAAUCUGCCCUGCACUCUGGGACAAGCCCUGGAAACGGGGUCUAAUACCGGAUAUGACUGUCNNNCGCAUGGUGGAUGGUGUAAAGCUCCGGCGGUGCAGGAUGAGCCCGCGGCCUAUCAGCUUGUUGGUGAGGUAGUGGCUCACCAAGGCGACGACGGGUAGCCGGCCUGAGAGGGCGACCGGCCACACUGGGACUGAGACACGGCCCAGACUCCUACGGGAGGCAGCAGUGGGGAAUAUUGCACAAUGGGCGAAAGCCUGAUGCAGCGACGCCGCGUGAGGGAUGACGGCCUUCGGGUUGUAAACCUCUUUCAGCAGGGAAGAAGCGAAAGUGACGGUACCUGCAGAAGAAGCGCCGGCUAACUACGUGCCAGCAGCCGCGGUAAUACGUAGGGCGCAAGCGUUGUCCGGAAUUAUUGGGCGUAAAGAGCUCGUAGGCGGCUUGUCACGUCGGUUGUGAAAGCCCGGGGCUUAACCCCGGGUCUGCAGUCGAUACGGGCAGGCUAGAGUUCGGUAGGGGAGAUCGGAAUUCCUGGUGUAGCGGUGAAAUGCGCAGAUAUCAGGAGGAACACCGGUGGCGAAGGCGGAUCUCUGGGCCGAUACUGACGCUGAGGAGCGAAAGCGUGGGGAGCGAACAGGAUUAGAUACCCUGGUAGUCCACGCCGUAAACGGUGGGCACUAGGUGUGGGCAACAUUCCACGUUGUCCGUGCCGCAGCU